rnacentral:rRNA from 1 species
CCUACGGGGGGCUGCAGUGGGGAAUAUUGGGCAAUGGGCGCAAGCCUGACCCAGCAACGCCGCGUGAAGGAAGAAGGUCCUCUGGAUUGUAAACUACUGUCCCCAGGGACGAAGAUGACGGUACCUGGGGAGGAAGCUCCGGCUAACUACGUGCCAGCAGCCGCGGUAAUACGUAGGGAGCGAGCGUUGUCCGGAAUUACUGGGUGUAAAGGGAGCGUAGGCGGGGAUGCAAGUUGGGUGUUAAAUCUACCGGCUCAACUGGUAGUCGCACUCAAAACUGCAGCUCUUGAGUGAAGUAGAGGCAGGCGGAAUUCCUAGUGUAGCGGUGAAAUGCGUAGAUAUUAGGAGGAACACCAGUGGCGAAGGCGGCCUGCUGGGCUGUGACUGACGCUGAGGCUCGAAAGUGUGGGGAGCAAACAGGAUUAGAUACCCGGGUAGUC